rnacentral:tRNA from 1 species
GGUGAUAGCUCAGUGGUAGAGCACUUGCCUAGCAUGUAUGAAAAACUGGGUUCAAUCCUCAGCACCA